UGAGUCCUAUGGUGUACGUAGGAUACUUUCCGUUUUGAGCCAACACUAAAUAUGCGGGAGCUUCCGUCUUUAUUCUAAUUGCAAGCCUACAUUAGGAAAGUAGGAAGCUUGAAUAAUAAAGCAAAGCACCCACCUGCGAGAGCAGGUUCAAAACCAAGUUCAUUACGGCACUGCUGGGGCUCUC
rnacentral:other from 1 species